GUGCUCGUUUUGGCAGCACAUACACUAAAAUUGGAACGAUACUGAGAAGAUUAGCAUGGUCCCUGUACAAGGAUGACACGCAAAUUCAUGAGGCAUUCCAUAUUUUU
rnacentral:snRNA from 1 species